ensembl:lncRNA
GUUCAGUUCAGUUCAGUCGCUCAGUCGUGUCUGACUCUUUGCUACCCCAUGAAUCACAGCACGCCAGGCCUCCCUGUCCAUCACCAACUCCGGGAGUUCACUCAGACUCAUGUCCAUCGAGCCAGUGAUGCCAUCCAGCCAUCUCAUCCUCAGUCAUCCCCUUCUUCUCCUACCGCAAUCCCUCCCAGCAUCAAAGUCUUUUCCAAUGAGUCAACUCUUCACAUGAGGUGGCCAAAGUACUGGAGUUUCAGCUUUAGCAUCAUUUGUCCACAACCAUAGAAUGUACAAUAUCAAAAGUGAAGUCUAAGGUUUCACAUGUUGGUAUCCUAACCACCAGUGUAACGGUUGGAUGAGAUCAUGAGGGCGGAAACCAAUGAUGGGAUUAGUGACCUCACAAGAAGAGGUCCUGAAACUAUAGCCCAGGCUUGAAUACAAAUCCAGUCACCAAUUCUAUUAGCAUGUCAGGAUCGGCAUCAGCGUUUCAACAUUUAUUUGUACGAUCAAAGGCUCAAAUUGGAAGAACUGCAGGUUCCAUAUGAAACUAAUAUCC